rnacentral:lncRNA from 1 species
UUAGAUUAAUUGAUCUAAUUGGUGUCUAGGAAAGCAUGAAAGGUGGUUACUUAAUUAGGACCUUACUCUCUGAUAAGGGGAGCCUCCCACCUGCUUACCUGGCCAAUUGUUCGAUUACCUCUUAUGAAGAGCUCAAGUUGCAAACACUAAGACCUGAUUAACCAAUAUUAAGUCAAUAGGUCUUCUACUGUAGUAGAGCUGCUAAAG